rnacentral:lncRNA from 1 species
GCCGGCCGUUCAGGCCGCGGCCGCUGCGGCAGAGGGAGAUUGCUCCCCCGGUUACGGAGGAGCAGGGCCGGCGGUCUAUUUCGAUCGCCGGCACCGGAAAAUCCAAGAAAAAAUGGCCCAAAACAGGGGUCUUUUUCCGACCAAAAAUCGGCGACACUCGUCGCCGGUAGCCUCAAGCAAAAAUACGGAAAGAAAGGAAAGGAAGAGAGGA